AAAGCGGAAGAUCUGUGAGCCGUGGAAAGAAGAGAGCAGAAAGAAAAGACCAUCAAGAUGAACAAAAGCGAAAGAAGAGAGCAGAGAGAAAAGAGGAAUAGAAGAGACGAAAGCAGAAGAUCUAUGAGCUCUGGAAAGAAGAGAGAAGAAAGAAAAGACCAGUUGCAAGAUUGUUGGGGUAGGAGAAAGAAGUGGAGAGGUUGAAGAAUUUGGUCGAAGAGAUUGCUGGGUUUUGGAAGAGAUAGCUGAUGUUCACAAAAGGGAAUUUUCACGUCAUCAUCUGAGUAGAAGGUUAACAAGGUUAAAUGUCAUUUUGCAUAUCAAUUUCUACAAGACAAUCUCAGAGCUUAGAUUUUAGGAACAGUUUGCAGGCGGGUUCUUCAGUUGUCUUGCAUUCAGGUCUGCUAUAGGAAUACUGAGGCAACGAUUACGGAUUUUGUAGACAUUGAAUCGACAUCACUGUUGACUGAAGGUUGACAUUCACGUUCCAGUCCAGUUGCAAAUCAGAGUUUCUUUAUUGAUAGAACCAUGUCAAUUGAAAGGUUUAAAACGGAACAGCAGCUAAAUUGUCAAAGCUCUACAGUUUAAAAUCAAGGGAGGUUAUUGUUUGGAACAGCACACCAGAGGAUCACAUGAUGAUUGUUACUGAUAUUCGAAUUAGAACAAAUCUCCUGAACAGAAAAUGAACCAAGUAUGAUGGUAGAGUUCAUGUAAGUUCAGAUUCGAUGAGUAAAAUAGAGGCUAAACUUGAAGCUGAAUUUCAAAGGUUGGGGCUAAACAGGAAUACUUCUACUUUGGAGAGAAGAUGAACUGAUCUUGAUGAGUAUGACGAAUUGGAAGAACUGGAGUGAUCUGAUUGCCAAUGUAUGAAAUUAACAAUGAGUCCAAGCUGCUAUCAUCACAGUUGAAGGGGGUUAUCCCCUGUGGAGAUCUUCCCUUCCUGUCCAAGACCAUGAGUUGUUAAGAAUGAAGAUCUAUUAGAGUUUUGGUGAAAAUUGAGAGCUUCGAAGCCAUUCACAAGGCUUCCCAUGGAGUCAUGAUUGCUCAGGUUGAUCAUGUAGCUUCUCAACUACUUGAAUCAAUGAUUGAAUACCCAACCCCAACACACGUUGAGGAAAGGAUAUUUUUUCCUUGCCUUGGUGGUGAAUUGGACAGUGAGUGUAAUGAACCAGUUUCAAUGAAACCGUGUGCUUCCCCAUCAUAGACUACACACAAUCAAGAGGAGUUACUAGAUUACAAAACACUAUCAGAGGUUUUAAAGAGCUUGGAAAAGAAGGUGCCUAACUUGAAAAUUUUCACAUAUGAACAAUUGGAUCAGUUGAAAAGAGUCGUCAUCUUCACUGAAUGGGAAGUGAGAAUGUGACACAGAAUUCAUUUAGAAGUGGGGCAGAAUAUUUAACCUUUGAAUGUUCUUUUCUGAUUUUGGGUUGGUUUCUUAUUUGAAUCCUCUUUGUUUGAUUUUUGUUAGUUGUUAGUUCAGUUAGGAGAAAAGCAAUUUACAAUUGUUAUAUGAGUAGAAUGCAUUUAUACUA